GGAUAACUGGGGGAAACUUCAGCUAAUACCGCAUAAUACCUACGGGUCAAAGGAGCAAUUCGCUUAAGGAGGGGGUCGCGGCAGAUUAGUUAGUUGGCGGGGUAAUGGCCCACCAAGACGAUGAUCUGUAUCCGGCCUGAGAGGGCGCACGGACACACUGGAACUGAAACACGGUCCAGACUCCUACGGGAGGCAGCAGUGGGGAAUUUUGCGCAAUGGGGGAAACCCUGACGCAGCAACGCCGCGUGGAGGAAGAAGUAUUUCGGUACGUAAACUCCUUUCGAUCGGGACGAUAAUGACGGUACCGAGAGAAGAAGCCCCGGCUAACUUCGUGCCAGCAGCCGCGGUAAUACGAGGGGGGCAAGCGUUGUUCGGAAUUAUUGGGCGUAAAGGGUGCGUAGGCGGUUUGGUAAGUCUUUUGUGAAAUCUACAGGCUCAACUUGUAGACUGCAAAGGAAACUGCCGGGCUUGAGUAUGGGAGAGGUGAGUGGAAUUCCUGGUGUAGCGGUGAAAUGCGUAGAUAUCAGGAGGAACACCUGUGGCGAAAGCGGCUCACUGGACCAUAACUGACGCUGAUGCACGAAAGCUAGGGGAGCAAACAGGAUUAGAUACCCUGGUAGUCCUAGCCCUAAACGAUGACUGCUUGGUGUGGCGGGUACCCAAUCCCGCCGUGCCGUAGCUAACGCG
rnacentral:rRNA from 1 species